GAGUCGGCCGGGCAACCGCUGCCGUGUACGCGUGUCUUAGACAUACGGUCACUGGGGGAGGAAAGUCCGAGCUCCAUAGGACGGGGUGCCAGGUAACGCCUGGAGAGCGCAAGCUCAUGACUAGUGCAACAGAGAGUAGACCGCCUAAGUGUGAAAACACCGGCAAGGGUGAAAGGGUGCGGUAAGAGCGCACCGCCUUCUUAGUAAUAAGAAGGGCACGGUAAACUCCACCCGGAGCAAGAUCGAAUAGGUUUCCAUAUGGUGUGGUCCGCACCGGAGACGGGUUGAUUGCUGGAACCGGUGAGCGAUUGCCGGUCUAGAGGAAUGGUUGCCACUGCAAUAUAACGCAGCACAGAACUCGGCUUACAGGCCGGCUCA
rnacentral:RNase_P_RNA from 1 species